rnacentral:rRNA from 1 species
AUUGAACGCUGGCGGCAGGCCUAACACAUGCAAGUCGGACGGUAGCACAGAGGAGCUUGCUCCUCGGGUGACGAGUGGCGGACGGGUGAGUAAUGUCUGGGGAUCUGCCCGAUAGAGGGGGUUAACCACUGGAAACGGUGGCUAAUACCGCAUAACGUCGCAAGACCAAAGAGGGGGACCUUCGGGCCUCUCACUAUCGGAUGAACCCAGAUGGGAUUAGCUAGUAGGCGGGGUAAUGGCCCACCUAGGCGACGAUCCCUAGCUGGUCUGAGAGGAUGACCAGCCACACUGGAACUGAGACACGGUCCAGACUCCUACGGGAGGCAGCAGUGGGGAAUAUUGCACAAUGGGCGCAAGCCUGAUGCAGCCAUGCCGCGUGUAUGAAGAAGGCCUUCGGGUUGUAAAGUACUUUCAGCGGGGAGGAAGGCGACGCGGUUAAUAACCGCGUCGAUUGACGUUACCCGCAGAAGAAGCACCGGCUAACUCCGUGCCAGCCGCCGCGGUAA